GAUGAACGCUGGCGGUAUGCUUAACACAUGCAAGUCGAACGGACUCUUCGGAGUUAGUGGCGGACGGGUGAGUAACGCGUGAGAAUCUGGCUUUGGGUUCGGGACAACCACUGGAAACGGUGGCUAAUACCGGAUGUGCCGAGAGGUAAAAGAGAAAUUGCCUGAAGAUGAGCUCGCGUCUGAUUAGCUAGUUGGUGAGGUAAAGGCUCACCAAGGCAGCGAUCAGUAGCUGGACUGAGAGGAUGACCAGCCACACUGGGGCUGAGACACGGCCGAGACGCCUACGGGAGGCUGCAGGGGGGAAUUUUCCGCAAUGGGCGAGUGGGUGACGAAGCACUACCGCGUGUGGGAAGAAGGCUCUUGGGUUGAAAACCACUUGUCUUAGGCAAGAACAAAAUGACGGUACCUAAGGAAUCAGCACCGGCUAACUCCGUG
rnacentral:rRNA from 1 species